AGAGCGAACGCUGGCGGCAGGCCUAACACAUGCAAGUCGAGCGCCCGUAGCAAUACGGGAGCGGCAGACGGGAUAGUAACACGUGGGAACGCGCCCUUCGGUUCGGAAUAACUCAGGGAAACUUGAGCUAAUACCGAAUACGCCCUUACGGGGAAAGAUUUAUUGCCGAAGGAACGGCCCGCGUCCGAUUAGCUAGUUGGUGAGGUAAUGGCUCACCAAGGCUACGAUCGGUAGCUGGUCUGAGAGGAUGACCAGCAUCACUGGGACUGAGACACGGCCCAGACUCCUACGGGAGGCAGCAGUGGGGAAUAUUGGACAAUGGGCGCAAGCCUGAUCCAGCCAUGCCGCGUGGAUGAUGAAGGCCUUAGGGUUGUAAAGUCCUUUUAACGGGGAAGAUAAUGACGGUACCCGUAGAAUAAGCCCCGGCUAACUUCGCGCCAGCAACGC
rnacentral:rRNA from 1 species